GUCCGGGCAGCGGCAGGAGGGGCACCCUAAGGGGCUGCGCAUGCAGGCUCCGGAGGGCCGCGGAACAUCUCCCCUCCCCUCCCCUCUACCCUUUCCCCACUCCUUGGCGUCGGGCGCUUGCAGGUGCUGAGGACCCCGGCGCACAGAAUGGAGGCGCCUUUCGGCUUCUAAGGGUCCUCCUCCCCCAUUUAAGGAGAAAACAUCCUUCCUGCCUUCCGCCUUCCUCGAAGUGACCUCACCACACCCCUGUAAAAACCGGGGAAUAGCCAUGGCGGACAGCCUGAGAAGAUUAGUUAACAACGAAAGCUGUCGGACCUUGCAAGACAAAUUGGAGAACUGGUACAAGGAUUACUAUAUGAACUCAUGUGAUCAAAACUUGAAUUGUUGCUGUGAAAUAAUUGAAAUGAAUUCCAGAAUACAGGGGCAGCUCUUUACAAUCCUCAGUCUAACAGCACAAGAAGGUGGACAUUAUGCUGGUGUGGAAACAAUCAAAUCUCGACUUCUGCCCUGGCUAGGGACUUGUUUCUCCAAUUCAUCUAUAGCAAAACCCAUCGAAAACAAUAUAAAUCUUUUGCAGGUAGAGUCACUUGAAAAGGACAGACAGCUACGAGAACUUUCUGCUUCUCGGGAGCGGGAGAUACAACAAUUAGAUUCGGAAUUGAAUUCAACUCGUGUUCAACUCAGCAUGGUUCAACAAGAACUCAAGUCUCUUCAAGCCCAGGAGGAGUCUCGCCAACGCAGCUUGGAUAUGCUAACUGACUAUGAACGACAACUUCGGACUCUGAAGGACGAGAUCGCUGUCCUGUCUGCAGAAAAAUCUGUUCUCCAGAGCAGACUUUCCAGGAGCCGGUCUCCUAGCCCUGUGUCCCAGCACAGCAGAUCUUGCAGUCCCAUGCAGAAAGAGAUGCAGAAAGAGCUGCAUAAAGACAUGCAGAAAGAGCUGCAUAAAGAGCUGGUGCCCUGUUCACCUCUGGUCAGCCGGCUGAGCUCUGUCUCUCGAAAAGCUAAUCUCCUGGCCCGGUUCAGCGAUGCUUAUGCUCAAGGCCGCCUGGAGGCCCAGACCUUGCUCAAGAGGUUCAUUGACAAGAUGGAGACAGUGCAGAGGAUCAUCUAUAUUGCCACAGUGGAAUCUUUCCAUGUAGCUAAAAUGGCAUUCAGACACUUCAAAAUACGUGUGAGGAAGACUUUAUCACCAACUCAUAUUGGGUCAGAAGAGCUUGAGGAUGCUGUCAUGGAUUAUGUAAUUUGCCAUCUUGAUUUAUAUGAUGUUCAAUGCAGUGUUAACGAUGUGAUUCGUGCCAUGAACGUGAACCCCAAGAUUUCUUUUCCACCUGAAGUUGAUUUUAUCGUUAUCAACAGCUUCAUCAAGGAGAUAUGCUGUAUUGCAUUUGCAAUGCAGACUUUGGAUCCUCCUCUAGAUAUUGCAUUUGGUGCUGAUGGAGAGAUUUUUAAUGAUUGCAAGUAUCGUCGCAGCUGUGACUCUGAUUUCACAGCCCCCUUGGUCUUCUAUCAUGUGUGGCCUGCUCUGAUGGAGAAUGAAAUUGUCAUUAUGAAAGGAGAAGCUGUCACCAAGAGAGGGGCUUUUUGGUCAUCUGUGAGAAAUGUCAACCGAAGUCGGAGUAGAAGUCUAAGCCCUGUCCAUCACCAUGGUAGCUCCGGUAAAAGCGGGGUAUCAAGAAGUCGGAGCCCUUCUCCACCAAGAAAUAUAAAUACAAUUUUCUCUUGCAGACCGAACAAGCCUAAUGCUUUUUCAACAUGACAACCAUUCAAAUACUUAAAGACCUUUUUUGACCAUCUCCACCUCAUUGGAAACUUGAAAUCCACCCCUGGGUCGCUGGCUCUGAUAGGUGAUGGGAGCCCAGCUCAGGCCUUUGGACCUCAGGAAAGAGAGAAGUACAAGUAUGAGCAGAUGGGUAGCCAGGUCCGGUCCCCUGAUAUUCACUUAGGAUGUUCUAGCAGGAGGGCCUUGGUUGAUCUCAACUGCUGUGAAAGUUCACUGGGAGAAAAAUCAUCUCCAUGGUAACCAGGGCCAAAGCUGAUUAGUGCUUUUUGGAUCAACAUCCACAGUGAUUGGAAGUAAAUGAGUUUAAAGCUUGUGAAGACCACAGGGUGGUUCCUCCCACAAGUAUUUGAGCCACAAGGGAUGAAGCCAACAAAUUCGGCUGCCAUCAGUGAAACUCAUCUUCCCCUAGGCCCCAAGGAUUGGG